rnacentral:rRNA from 1 species
GAUGAACGCUGGCGGCGUGCCUAAUACAUGCAAGUAGAACGCUGAAGGAGGAGCUUGCUCUUCUGGAUGAGUUGCGAACGGGUGAGUAACGCGUAGGUAACCUGCCUGGUAGCGGGGGAUAACUAUUGGAAACGAUAGCUAAUACCGCAUGACAACAGUUAUUGCAUGAUAACUGUUUAAAAGGGGCAACUGCUCCACUACCAGAUGGACCUGCGUUGUAUUAGCUAGUUGGUGAGGUAACGGCUCACCAAGGCGACGAUACAUAGCCGACCUGAGAGGGUGAUCGGCCACACUGGGACUGAGACACGGCCCAGACUCCUACGGGAGGCAGCAGUAGGGAAUCUUCGGCAAUGGACGGAGGUCUGACCGAGCAACGCCGCGUGAGUGAAGAAGGUUUUCGGAUCGUAAAGCUCUGUUGUAAGAGAAGAACGAGUGUGAGAGUGGAAAGUUCACACUGUGACGGUAUCUUACCAGAAAGGGACGGCUAACUACGUG